AUACGGAGGGUCCGAGCGUUAAUCGGAAUUACUGGGCGUAAAGCGCGCGUAGGUGGUUCAGUCAGUCAGAUGUGAAAGCCCCGGGCUCAACCUGGGAACUGCACCUGAUACUGCUGAGCUAGAGUACGGUAGAGGGCAGUGGAAUUUCCGGUGUAGCGGUGAAAUGCGUAGAGAUCGGAAGGAACACCAGUGGCGAAGGCGACUGCAUGGACGGAUACUGACACUGAGGUGCGAAAGCGUGGGUAGCAAACAGGAUUAGAUACCCUGGUAGUCCACGCCGUAAACGAUGUCAACUAGCCGUUGGGGGACUUGAGCCGUUAGUGGCGAAGCUAACGCGAUAAGUUGACCGCCUGGGGAGUACGGCCGCAAGGUUAAAACUCAAAUGAAUUGACGGGG
rnacentral:rRNA from 1 species